rnacentral:rRNA from 1 species
UACGUAGGGGGCAAGCGUUGUCCGGAUUCAUUGGGCGUAAAGAGCGUGUAGGCGGCCAGGUAGGUCGGUUGUGAAAACUGGAGGCUCAACCUUCAGAGGUCGACCGAAACCAUCUGGCUAGAGUCCGGGAGAGGAGAGUGGAAUUCCUGGUGUAGCGGUGAAAUGCACAGAUAUCAGGAAGAACACCCGUGGCGAAAGCGGCUCUCUGGAACGGUACUGACGCUGAGACGCGAAAGCGUGGGGAGCGAACAGG